AAUGCAUAGUCGAAAAAAACCAUCAAGCGAGCCGGACGCGUAUCUCUUUGUAACGGAUCUCGGAACGCCGUGGGAGUCGGAAAGUCGGAAAAUCGCUAGACGCGUGUUCGCUGCGUUGGUGUGCGUGCGAUUGCAUGUGUGCGUGUGUGUGUGGGUGCGAGCGGGUGAGCGAAUAAAUAAAUAAAUAAAUCGCCAAGUCGGGCCUGGAAAAUGAGUGCGCUAAUCAAAUAAUAUGCCCCCGUUUCUGGCCAAUUGAGAAUUGUGGCUAAACAGCAAAUUCGACGGGAGUUCAAAAAAACUCAACCCAGUGAAAAAACAAAAAAAAAUCAUUGAAAAAGUUCGUUUUUAUUUUCGCUUUUAAUUUGUUAACGAAAAAAUAUUGGAUAAAAUAAAAAAUAAAGAAAAAAGUGUACGUGACAAGAGCCCAAAAAAAUUGCAACACAAAAUAGCGAAAAUAAUUCGUGCGUGCGAAAAAGAGCUGCGAAGUUUUAUGGCCCAUGCAAAAAGUGCUAAAUUUGUAAAUGGCAUGGAAAGUGCAAAGCUCUGAUUAAAAAGCCGCGAAGAGUGGAGAGCUCGAGGUGCCCAGAAACGCAACCAACUACUGCCAAAAGGAAAUUAUUAUUAAAAAAUAAAUAAACCCAAACAACGACCUCCGAACAACCAAGCAAACAGAAAUUUUGUGCUAAUUCUGUUUAAUCGAACACCAUCCACGUUGGAUCCCCAUCGCAUAUAAUGUCAUCAAAAUGUGCUUUCAACAUUGUAUUCGUAUCGAUAAUUUUCAUCAUCAUCGUAAAUGGUUACGCAAAAGAUAUUUCUGGAGUUAAAAGAGGUCAUGAACGACUUAACGAAUACAUAUCCCACUAUGAAACACUCAACUAUGAUCACGAGCACAUACGAGCUAGUCACAAUAGAGCGCGACGAUCAGUGACCAAAGAUCAUUAUGUACAUUUAAAGUUUGCAUCACAUGGAAGAGACUUCCAUCUUAGAUUAAAACGUGAUUUAAAUACAUUUAGCAAUAAGUUAGACUUUUAUGAUAGCAAAGGUCCCAUUGAUGUCUCCACGGAUCAUAUCUAUGAGGGCGAAGUGAUAGGGGAUCGUAAUAGUUAUGUAUUUGGUUCCAUACACAAUGGGGUAUUCGAGGGUAAAAUUAUAACGGAACGUGAUGCCUAUUAUGUUGAACAUGCCAAACAUUAUUUCCCCACAAAUCGCACGGCGACAACAACACCACCAAUAUCCUCGACGACGUCGGCUCCAAGGAGCAUCAUCAGCAGCACAAAAAACACACAACCAACGCGGCCUUUGGCCCGAAAUAACAAUAACAACAACAACAACAGAACUGCCGUUGAUAGUAAGACCGAAAACUUCAUAAAGAAAAUUGCUGAAUCCACAGCGACGACCCAGCAGCAGCUCCCAGAGCAUUCCGAUUCCUCGUCGUCGUCGUCGUCGACAACAACAUUCCCACCCACAUCGGAUAAUUCCGAGGACGAAAAGAAGGAGCAGGAGCAUAAUGCCGAGGACGAACUUGAUUUUCACUCCAUUAUCUACAAGGAGUCACAUGUCGAGGACGCCUACGAAAAUGUGCGCGAAGGUCACGUGGCCGGCUGCGGCAUCACGGAUGAGGUCUCCGAAUGGAUGGAGAACAUACAAAAUUCAGCCGUCGAAGAGCUGCCGGAGCCCAUGUCAAAGGACUACCAAAAGCUCCACCGGAAGCAGCUGCACAAAAAGUCCGCCCCACAGCAGCAGCAGCAACAGCAGCCCCAUCCGCCCAAGAAGUACAUCAGUGGCGAUGAGGACUUCAAGUACCCCCAUCAGAAGUACACGAAAGAGGCGAACUUCGCCGCCGAGGGUGCAUUCUACGAUCCUUCGACCGGACGUCGUCUGGGCUCAUCCGCCAACGUGGCCGACUGGCAUCAGCUCGUCCACGAGCGCGUCCGUCGGGCCACCGACAAUGGAGGCGGAGGUGGAGCCGGGGGCUCAUCCGGUGGAUCUGGACGCGGUCGCGAGGACAACAAGAAUACCUGUUCGCUCUACAUUCAAACGGAUCCAUUGAUUUGGCGCCACAUACGCGAGGGCAUUGCCGACCAUGAUCGUGGGCGCAAGUACGAGGUGGACGAGAAAACGCGCGAGGAAAUCACAUCGCUGAUUGCACAUCACGUGACGGCCGUUAAUUACAUUUACCGCAACACAAAGUUCGACGGACGCACCGAGCAUCGCAACAUACGCUUUGAGGUGCAACGAAUUAAGAUCGAUGACGAUUCGGCUUGUCGCAAUUCCUAUAACGGCCCCCACAAUGCCUUUUGCAAUGAGCACAUGGAUGUCUCGAACUUCUUGAAUCUCCAUUCCCUGGAAGAUCACUCGGACUUUUGCCUGGCCUAUGUGUUUACCUACAGAGAUUUCACUGGCGGUACUUUGGGACUGGCCUGGGUGGCGAGCGCUUCGGGAGCCUCGGGAGGAAUUUGUGAAAAAUACAAGACUUACACGGAGACAGUGGGCGGACAGUAUCAGAGCACCAAGAGAUCCCUUAAUACGGGCAUUAUUACCUUUGUUAAUUACAAUAGCCGGGUGCCACCGAAGGUUUCCCAGUUAACUCUGGCCCACGAAAUAGGUCAUAACUUUGGAUCACCUCACGACUACCCGCAGGAGUGUCGCCCUGGAGGCCUUAAUGGCAACUACAUUAUGUUUGCCAGUGCCACCUCCGGUGAUAGGCCAAACAAUUCGAAGUUCUCGCCCUGCUCCAUUAGGAACAUCUCAAACGUUCUGGACGUCCUCGUGGGCAACUCAAAAAGGGACUGCUUCAAGGCCUCGGAGGGAGCCUUCUGCGGCAACAAGAUCGUAGAGUCUGGCGAGGAAUGCGACUGUGGAUUUAACGAGGAGGAGUGCAAGGACAAGUGCUGCUAUCCGCGUCUCAUCAGCGAAUACGAUCAAUCGCUGAACUCCAGUGCCAAGGGUUGUACGCGCCGUGCCAAGACACAGUGCUCGCCAUCGCAGGGUCCUUGCUGUCUGUCCAACUCGUGCACCUUUGUGCCCACGAGCUACCACCAGAAGUGCAAGGAGGAGACGGAAUGCAGCUGGUCGAGCACCUGCAACGGAACCACCGCCGAGUGUCCGGAGCCGCGGCAUCGCGAUGACAAGACAAUGUGCAACAAUGGAACGGCGCUGUGCAUCCGCGGCGAAUGCAGUGGAUCGCCCUGCCUGCUCUGGAAUAUGACCAAGUGCUUCCUCACCUCGACGACGCUGCCGCAUGUGAAUAAGCGCAAACUGUGCGACUUGGCCUGUCAGGAUGGCAACGACACCACCACUUGCCGCAGCACCAGCGAGUUUGCGGAUAAAUAUAAUAUUCAAAAGGGUGGCAUUAGCCUGCAGCCCGGUUCGCCGUGCGACAACUUCCAGGGCUACUGCGAUGUGUUCCUCAAGUGUCGCGCCGUCGACGCCGAUGGGCCGCUGGUGCGGCUGAAGAAUCUGCUGCUCAACCGCGAGACCCUACAGACGGUCGCCGAGUGGAUCGUGGACAACUGGUAUCUGGUCGUUCUGAUGGGCGUGGCCUUCAUCGUGGUCAUGGGCUCGUUCAUUAAGUGCUGUGCCGUUCACACGCCCAGUUCGAAUCCGAAGAAGCGGCGAGCUCGUCGCAUCAGCGAAACGCUGAGAGCUCCCAUGAAUACGUUGCGAAGAAUGCAACGUCAUCCCAAUCAGCGAGGAGCAGGUCCUCGCAGCAUCCCGCCACCGGCCCAUGAGGCGCAGCACUAUCCACGUAGCGGUGGCGGCGGCGGAGGAGGAGGAGGUCGUAGCCAUGGUGGCUCCCGUUCGCACCACCAAUCACAUCCGCACGACUGGGAUCGCCAGCAGGGUGGUCACUCGAUCGUUCCCCUGCCCACCGGUGGCAGCCAUUCGAGUCGCAACUCGGCGGCGAAUCAGGCGAGAAGAAGUGAUGGCCGGGGCCCACGAUCCACCAGCAGUGGGCGACCACAGGCGACGGCGGCCAGCGGAAGCAGCGGAGGAGCGGCGCGAUCACAUGGCGGGUAUGGAGCCGCCGAGCAGGCGAUACCGGGUUCCAUUGGUGGUGGUGUCCAGGCGGCCAUUAGCAGCGGCGGUGUGGUGGCUCGGGCCCAGCUGCCGCUGCCAUUGCCGCCGCCAAAUGCACAGCAGCAAUUGCAACAGCACCAACAACAACAACAUCUACAACUUCAGCAGCCGGCAAUUUCGCCGCAGCAACAGCCACAGCAAGCGUUCUACACGCCGAAAGAACUACCACCACGCAAUAAGUCCCGAUCAUCACGUACCAACAACACCACCUCCAACAACACCACAACCACCAACUCAUCCACCGCGGCAGCCGGCAGUGGGUCGGGAUCGGGGGCGGGCAGUAGUAGUAAGAGCAAGAGCGGGAAAAGUGCCAAAGCCAAAGACUCAAAGUCGCAAAAGUCGCAACAGCAGACCAACAACAGCAGUCGCAGCAGCAGCAAGGAGAAGGCCAUGAAGCCAGUGCGCCGGAAUAUCGUUUAUUAGGAGUGGAUCCAUCAUCCAUCAUUGCCAUACAGACAAACACUGAAAGACAGACUCCCCGAAUUCCCGAAAACCAAACAAAUACGCCCGCUGCUAGUCAUCGAUCCAUGAGUUGUUGCUUCCCAUCCACCACCAAAACACGAAAAUCAAAAGAAAUCAAAAUGAUAUUUCAUUUAAUCGAAGCAAUUGGCGUCGCGCCGCCGCCGCUACAAGUAAGCUUUAGUCGGCCGACAUCGUUGCACGAGCAACAGCAGCAGCAACAUCUUCUGCAGCAGCAGC